rnacentral:lncRNA from 1 species
GGAUCGACUCUACUAAGUCUAAACUUGAAUUUUCUCCUUUGAAGACUUUGACUUAGUGAAUUUUAUGAAGAUCUUUUUCAAUGAAUAUUUCUUCAAUUUUAAUAUUUGAAAAAACCUACAAACAUUCUUAAAAUGCAUGAUUAGAUAUAUGAUAUACUAAAACUUUGACAAUUAUCAAAAUCAAUCAUGGGGUCAACAAUAUUAUAUACAUAAAUAUGCAUAUCC